rnacentral:tRNA from 1 species
GGGUGUAUAGCUCAGUUGGUAGAGCAUUGGGCUUUUAACCUAAUAGUCGAAGGUUCAAGUCCUGCUAUACCCA